rnacentral:ribozyme from 1 species
UAGGGGAGUGAGUGAGUGAGCGAGUUUUUCUCUUCCCACUCGCCUCCGCGCCGAUCUUUCGCGUUCUUGAGCCCCACUCCUGCCAUUCAGCCUCACGCAUGCAUUGACCUUCCUCGUCCUUCCG